UGGCCUCAAAUCAGGUAGGACUACCCGCUGAACUUAAGCAUAUCAAUAAGCGGAGGAAAAGAAACUAACAAGGAUUCCCUUAGUAACGGCGAGUGAACCGGGAAGAGCUCAAAUUUGAAAUCUGGCUGUCUUCGAUAGUCCGAGUUGUAAUCUAUAGAAGCGUUUUCCGUGCUGAACUGUGUCUAAGUCCCUUGGAACAGGGUAUCAAAGAGGGUGACAAUCCCGUACUUGACACAAUCAUCAGUGCUCUGUGAUACGUUCUCUACGAGUCGAGUUGUUUGGGAAUGCAGCUCAAAAUGGGUGGUAAAUUCCAUCUAAAGCUAAAUAUUGGCGAGAGACCGAUAGCGAACAAGUACCGUGAGGGAAAGAUGAAAAGCACUUUGGAAAGAGAGUUAAACAGUACGUGAAAUUGUUGAAAGGGAAACGAUUGAAGUCAGUCGUGUUCAUUGGAUUCAGCCGGUCUUCGGUGUACUUCCUUUGAACGGGUCAACAUCAGUUUUGCUCGGUGGAUAAAGGUAGUAGGAAUGUGGCCCUUCCGGGGGUGUUAUAGCCUAUUAUCACAUACACU
rnacentral:rRNA from 1 species